GCUAAGAAACUGCCGGGGUUCUCAGCUGGCCCGAGCACCGGGUACCCUGUGCCUUGGCCGGUGCGGAGAGGGAGCCCCUGGACACCCUCCCCGCCCGGCGGAGGGGACCCAGGCCCCUUGGGGCCGUGCAGGGUGGCAGCCCCCGCUUGUGCCGAGCUGCCGGCCGGGCGCCGAUAACGGGAGGAGCCGGCACCGCCCGGAUCCCACCUGGGAGGGCCGGGACGGCCGUCCUGCCGUGUCCCCGGGACCCGGUCCGGCGGCAGGGGAGCCAGGGCAGUCCCAGCAUCCACGGGGGAGACAUUAGCUCCUUCCCGGUGACCAAGGCUUUCUCGCACACAUCGGAAGCAGGGCUGAAGCCGUGUGACCGCUUUUUAUGGAAAAGGAAAGACAUUUGCAGGCACUUUGGAGCAUCCUGGCCGCCUGUGCGGGGCUGGAGGCACGGCGAGCGGCAUCCCGGUACCGGCUGGGGCCGUCCGCUCCCCGCUCCGCCCGCUGCAUCCCUCCCAGCCCCCAGCGCACACCCGCUUUUCUCUCUCUCUUUUUUUUUUUUUUUUUUCCCCUAAAGAUCAAAAGCUCCUUGCUGUUGCAGAAGGACUAUUUUCUCAGGCGUCCUUCCCCACCACGGCUUUGUGAAAAGGACAAUAGACUCCUGUGUCAGUGUUGUUGGCACUAGCCUUGCAUAAUA